rnacentral:rRNA from 1 species
GACGAACGCUGGCGGCGUGCUUAACACAUGCAAGUCGAACGGAAAGGCCCUGCUUUUGUGGGGUGCUCGAGUGGCGAACGGGUGAGUAACACGUGAGUAACCUGCCCUUGACUUUGGGAUAACUUCAGGAAACUGGGGCUAAUACCGGAUAGCAGCUCCUGCUGCAUGGUGGGGGUUGGAAAGUUUCGGCGGUUGGGGAUGGACUCGCGGCUUAUCAGCUUGUUGGUGGGGUAGUGGCUUACCAAGGCUUUGACGGGUAGCCGGCCUGAGAGGGUGACCGGGCACAUUGGGACUGAGAUACGGCCCAGACUCCUACGGGAGGCAGAAGUGGGGAAUAUUGCACAAUGGGCGGAAGCCUGAUGCAGCGACGCCGCGUGCGGGAUGACGGCCUUCGGGUUGUAAACCGCUUUCGCCUGUGACGAAGCGUGAGUGACGGUAAUGGGUAAAGAAGCACCGGCUAACUACGUG